CUGCAGUCGAGCGGAUGACGGGAGCUUGCUCCUCGAUUCAGCGGCGGACGGGUGAGUAAUACCUAGGAAUCUGCCUGAUAGUGGGGGACAACGUUUCGAAAGGAACGCUAAUACCGCAUACGUCCUACGGGAGAAAGCAGGGGACCUUCGGGCCUUGCGCUAUCAGAUGAGCCUAGGUCGGAUUAGCUAGUUGGUGAGGUAAUGGCUCACCAAGGCGACGAUCCGUAACUGGUCUGAGAGGAUGAUCAGUCACACUGGAACUGAGACACGGUCCAGACUCCUACGGGAGGCAGCAGUGGGGAAUAUUGGACAAUGGGCGAAAGCCUGAUCCAGCCAUGCCGCGUGUGUGAAGAAGGUCUUCGGAUUGUAAAGCACUUUAAGUUGGGAGGAAGGGCAGUAAGCUAAUACCUUGCUGUUUUGACGUUACCGACAGAAUAAGCACCGGCUAACUCUGUGCCAGCAGCGCGGG
rnacentral:rRNA from 1 species